GUGGAUUAGAUACCCUGGUAGUCCACGCUGUAAACGAUGAUUACUCGAUGUUGGCGAUAAACUGUCAGCGUCUUAGCGAAAGCGUUAAGUAAUCCACCUGGGGAGUACGCCCGCAAGGGUGAAACUCAAAGGAAUUGACGGGGGCCCGCACAAGCGGUGGAGCAUGUUGUUUAAUUCGAUGAUACGCGAGGAACCUUACCUAGGCUAGAAUGCGCGUGACCGGUCCAGAGAUGGACCUUUCCUUCGGGACACAAAGCAAGGUGCUGCACGGUCGUCGCCAACU
rnacentral:rRNA from 1 species